rnacentral:rRNA from 1 species
UACGUAGGGGGCAAGCGUUGUCCGGAUUUAUUGGGCGUAAAGCGCUCGCAGGUGGUUCGUCGCGUCGUGCGUGAAAGACCCCGGCUCAACUGGGGGGUGUCGUGCGAUACGGGCGGACUGGAGGCCAGUAGGGGGAUGCGGAAUUCCGGGUGUAGUGGUGGAAUGCGUAGAGAUCCGGAGGAACACCAGCGGCGAAGGCAGCUCGCUGGGACGGUACUGACGCUGAGGCGCGAAAGCGUGGGGAGCGAACAGG